GCGCCCGUAGCUCAACCGGAUAGAGCAUCGGCCUUCUAAGCCGGCGGUUACAGGUUCGAUUCCUGUCGGGCGCGCCA
rnacentral:tRNA from 2 species